rnacentral:rRNA from 1 species
GAUGAACGCUGGCGGCGUGCCUAAUACAUGCAAGUCGAGCGAACAGACGAGGAGCUUACUCCUCUGACGUUAGCGGCGGCCGGGUGAGUAACACGUGGAUAACCUACCUAUAAGACUGGGAUAACUUCGGGAAACCGGAGCUAAUACCGGAUAACAUGUUGAACCGCAUGGUUCAACAGUGAAAGACGGUCUUGCUGUCACUUAUAGAUGGAUCCGCGUCGCAUUAGCUAGUUGGUAAGGUAACGGCUUACCAAGGCAACGAUGCGUAGCCGACCUGAGAGGGUGAUCGGCGACACUGGAACUGAGACACGGUCCAGACUCCUACGGGAGGCAGCAGUAGGGAAUCUUCCGCAAUGGGCGAAAGCCUGACGGAGCAACGCCGCGUGAGUGAAGAAGGUCUUCGGAUCGUAAAACUCUGUUAUUAGGGAAGAACAAAUGUGUAAGUAACUAUGCACGUCUUGACGGUACCUAAUCAGAAAGCCACGGCUAACUACGUG